rnacentral:rRNA from 1 species
GACGAACGCUGGCGGCGUGCCUAAUACAUGCAAGUCGAACGCAUUUUCUUUCACCGUAGCUUGCUACACCGAAAGAAAAUGAGUGGCGAACGGGUGAGUAACACGUCGGUAACCUGCCCAACAGCGGGGGAUAACACUUGGAAACAGGUGCUAAUACCGCAUAAUUCCAUUUACCGCAUGGUAGAUGGAUGAAAGGCGCUUUUGCGUCACCUAUGGAUGGACCCGCGGUGCAUUAGCUAGAUGGUGGGGUAACGGGCUACCAAGGCUGCGAUGCAUAGCCGACCUGAGAGGGUGAUCGGCCACACUGGGACUGAGACACGGCCCAGACGCCUACGGGAGGCAGCAGUAGUGAAUCUUCGGCAAUGGACACAAGUCUGACCGAGCAACGCCGCGUGAGUGAAGAGGGUUUUCGGAUCGUAAAACUCUGUUGUUAGAGAAGAACAAGGAUGAGAGUGGAAAGUUCAUCCCUUGACGGUAUCUAACCAGAAAGCCACGGCUAACUACGUG